rnacentral:rRNA from 1 species
CGGCAGGCUUAACACAUGCAAGUCGAGCGGGGAAGGGUAGCUUGCUACCUAACCUAGCGGCGGACGGGUGAGUAAUGCUUAGGAAUCUGCCAUUUAGUGGGGGACAACAUUCCGAAAGGAAUGCUAAUACCGCAUACGUCCUACGGGAGAAAGCAGGGGAUCUUCGGACCUUGCGCUAAAUGAUGAGCCUAAGUCGGAUUAGCUAGUUGGUGGGGUAAAGGCCUACCAAGGCGACGAUCUGUAGCGGGUCUGAGAGGAUGAUCCGCCACACUGGGACUGAGACACGGCCCAGACUCCUACGGGAGGCAGCAGUGGGGAAUAUUGGACAAUGGGCGGAAGCCUGAUCCAGCCAUGCCGCGUGUGUGAAGAAGGCCUUUUGGUUGUAAAGCACUUUAAGCGAGGAGGAGGCUACUUAGAUUAAUACUCUAGGAUAGUGGACGUUACUCGCAGAAUAAGCACCGGCUAACUCUGUGCCAGCAGCCGCGGUAAUACAGAGGGUGCGAGCGUUAAUCGGAUUUACUGGGCGUAAAGCGUGCGUAGGCGGCUUUUUAAGUCGGAUGUGAAAUCCCCGAGCUUAACUUGGGAAUUGCAUUCGAUACUGGGAAGCUAGAGUAUGGGAGAGGAUGGUAGAAUUCCAGGUGUAGCGGUGAAAUGCGUAGAGAUCUGGAGGAAUACCGAUGGCGAAGGCAGCCAUCUGGCCUAAUACUGACGCUGAGGUACGAAAGCAUGGGGAGCAAACAGGAUUAGAUACCCUGGUAGUCCAUGCCGUAAACGAUGUCUACUAGCCGUUGGGGCCUUUGAGGCUUUAGUGGCGCAGCUAACGCG